rnacentral:piRNA from 1 species
AGUGAGUAUCACAUUGUGACAGAACGGAGU